rnacentral:rRNA from 1 species
GUGUCAGCAGCCGCGGUAAUACGUAGGGACCAAGCGUUGUUCGGAUUUACUGGGCGUAAAGGGCGCGUAGGCGGCGCGACAAGUCACUUGUGAAAUCUCCGGGCUUAACCCGGAACGGCCAAGUGAAACUGUCGUGCUAGAGUGCGGAAGGGGCAAUCGGAAUUCUCGGUGUAGCGGUGAAAUGCGUAGAUAUCGAGAGGAACACCUGAGGUGAAGACGGGUUGCUGGGCCGACACUGACGCUGAGUGCGCGAAAGCCAGGGGAGCAAACGGGAUUAGAAACCCGGGUAGUCC